AUCUACUCUAUAUAGAUGCCUCCCCCAGUGCCUUAGCCAAAGUACCUCCCAAGUUGUGGUCAACAGGCCCAGAGAACAUUGGACGCCACCAUGUCCCUCCGGUCCUAGUGAAGCUUAUCCCAGCGGCCAGUCUGCCCCGUAAACCACAAUACCCACUGAAGCCUGCCAAUGUUGUGUCCAAUGUUGCCCUGGUCCCCUGUGUGUCUCCCUGUAACACUUCCCUGUUCCCCGUAAAAAAGAAAACUGCAAAGGGGAGCCCGGGAAAUACAGGAUGGUUCAGGACCUCAGUGCUGUUAACGAAGCUACCAUUCUAGGCACUCCCAUUGUGCCUAACCCUCUCACACUCCUGUCAGGGGUCCCACCUACCUCAAGGUACUUCACAGUGGUGGAUCUAGCUAAUGCAUUCUUCAGUGUAUCCCUGGAUCCCUCAUGCCAAUAUCUCUUUGCCUUCACCCAUGAACGCCAGCAGUAUACCUGGACUGUCAUGCCUCAAGGUGCACAAAAUUCUCCCAGCCAGUUUGCAAGAGCUAUGGUUUGAUUCUGGACUCAUGGCAAAAGGCUCACACCAAUGUGGUCCUGCUUCAAUACGUAGAUGACCUCCUUCUAUGUGCUCCCCACUGCUUAGCGUACGUCUAAAGACCUCCUAUGCUUUCUCGCAGAUCAAGGAUGUAAAGCCUCCAAGCAAAAACUACAGUGGUGCCUUCCCUCUGUGGUUUUCCUAGGCCACUGCCUCUCACAUGGUGCCCGCCACCUUACCCGUGACCGGGUAAAAGCAAUCAAGGUUAUUGCUCCCCCUACAGGCCAAAAACCCCUCCAUGCUUUCCUGGGCCUGAUCUCCUACUGCAAGGCCUGGAUCCCGGAGGCCUCCCUCCUAAUGCAACCCCUUUAUGACUCCCUUAAGUCCGAACCCUUUUCCCUACCCCCUGAGGCACUAUCCAGCUUCUAUGCCCUACAACGUGUCAUCUCCUCUUCCCCUGGCCCUGGGCCUCCCAGACUACCAGAAACCCUUCAAGUUGUUCGUGUCAGAGAGACAGGGACACGCCACAGGGGUCCUCACUCAGUCCCACGGUUCACGCCAGCGCCCCAUUGGCUUUUACUCUUGCCAACUAGAUCCUGUGGCGAAAGGUGGCCCCUCCUGCCUUAGAGCAGUAUUUGCAGCACACACCCUCAUUGAUAAAACCAAUUCACUUGUCAUCCUUGCUCCCCAUGACGUUGCUGCCAUCCUUAACCAAGUCCAACCCAAACAUCUCUCUGCUGCACGCCACCUCCGCUUACAGUGCUCUCUACUGCUCCCUGACAACGUGUCCCUACAGAGGUGUUACUCCCUUAACCCGUCCACUCUUCUGCCACUUCCUAAGGGGGAAUCUAGACACUAUUGGUAUAGCCUAGACCUAGACCCAGGUUCACACAUUUUUCCAGAUCUUCUGACCUGAGUCAUGCCCCCUGUCACACAUGUCGUUCAGACUUCCCCCCACUGCACCCUAUGGUACAAACUCACCUCAGGACCCGACCCCCACUAUGAGGAAGACUUGAUGCAGUUGGUGGAAGUAACACUCACCGUAACAGAAC